CCUGAUGACGUAGCUGUCGGCCCUACAGAGGGGGUGAGUACUUCUGUGGGCGCCAAGCCUAGUUCAGUAACGUGCAAAGACUUGAUGCAUUAUUAGGGUUUUCCAUUAGGUGGCAGCAUUGAUUUUCACAGAGCCGGGAUCCAGAAAGAAAGGUUAGAAGAAGAAUAGUCAUUAUGGGUGAUUUGGAUGAGCGAUUGUGUGAGGAGGUGCGGAGGAACCCGCACAUAUAUAACGCGUUUUUGAAAGAGCACAGGGAUAUAUUCCUGUGCGGGAAUUCAUGGAAGCAAAUCGCCCAAACAUUGGGUAAAGAUGAAAGUUACUGUAGGGUAAGGUGGAAAUAUCUGAGAGACAGAUAUGUGAAAGCAAAACGGAAAACCGCUGGAAGAAGAGGCAACAAACGCUCACCUAUCCUAGCCAUGCUGGGCUGGCUGUCAAGUUACGUUAGUCACAGGGAUACGGACUCCAACGUGGCCAGUGAUGUGUAUUGCAGAAUCAGUUUCUUGAAGCGACUGGAUCGAAGGAAGGAAACACCGUCUACUUUUUAGACCGAGGGCUCCAGUGAAGCUGUGACACAAGCAGGCCCGCCGCGGAAAAAUCCCAGGCCCGCUACAAAAUUAUUUCAGCUGGGCCCUCACGACGUGCAGCCCCUCCCCCCUGGGCCUCCACCUGGGUCCGGGCCCGGAACAACUUCCCCAGUUGUCCCACGGAAACGGCAGUCCCAAACACUGGAAUCGGAGUGCAUCGCGUCGGGGCCCUCUGUCGCUGACAUGGAGCAGGAGACAUUUUCAGAAAACUUAUGCCUGCCGCCUCCACCACCAUCCCCAUCCCUAUCGGAAAUGUCAGACCAGAGCUCACCUGAGUCUCCAUUUCACCACUGCCAGAGAUCAAGAAAGAGGAAAGAAUGCCAGACUUCUUUGACUGAAGCAGUGAUGCUGCGUCUGCGGAAGAUUGAUCAAGAAGGUGGCUGUGAGGAGCUCUCCUUUGGGCGAUAUGUUGGCCAGGCACUUCUAAAAAUGGACCAAAAAACAAGAUCCUGUGUGAAAUUUGAAAUCAAUCGGGUGCUGCACAAGUGGGAGAUGGAGCCACACCGUGAUGGAAUUGUCUGAUACCUGCUGCAUUACAGGCACAAUGCAUAUGAGUACAUCUAGUGAACUCUGCUUUUACAAUUAUUUUGAAGAUGGGCUCAAAUUAUACAAUUCAUAGGGCUGCACCAUAUUGGGGGAAAUAGCUUUGUGAUAUUUCACAUUUUUAUAACUAUUGUAAUAUUUAUUAAAAAUGAAAAUCUAGAAAAUAAAAUCCAAAAUAAAACACAGCCAAAUAGAACCUGUAUUGUCUGCCAGUAGAAUUUCUCGGAUGAUUUGUUGGUGGUGUGGUGAGCUGUGCUGAUGCAAAGCAGUGCCUACAAAUCCCUUGUUUUUGCUAAAUAUCUAUGGAAUCCAAAAUAUUUUCAUAGAGUGCAAGACCGUGGUCUUUUGGUGACUAGUGCUUGUUCACUUUUCUCCUCCACUAAUUUUUCUUAAAGUUCUCACAUUGUCUCUUAGUGACUGAAACAGCAAGGAUGAAAAUUAUUAUGCUUGGAUUGGAGAGUGUGUGCAGGACUCAUGUGACCUUUGCAUUGUGUUUUUUAACAUGCAAUAUGAUAUUGAGUGACUGUUGCGGUCCUUGCCGUGUGAUUACUGCAUGUACAUAAAGCAUGAUGUAGAUAUUAACAUCGUAGCUUACAUGCAGUGACCAUCUAACCCUUGUCAGGGGGACACUAUGAGCUACGACAGGGUUUGUAAGCUACCAUUUCAAUCAAAAGGAUCUGGAUUUCACUUAAGCACUGAGUUCUUGCUGUGUGCUGAUUGGUUGGUCUCCUAUAAUCGUGCAUCUGUCACUGAUGUUAAUGUGAAACAGCUGGAUUAGUCUUUCAAUCAAGGAAACAAACCAGUAAAAGCACAAGAAGAACUGAACUAAUUAGCCAAGCGCCUGAGCCUUUUGGUUGUAAAGUAGUUUGUAAAACCUGAAGUAGUUCAUAGCAUCCCUCCUGACAUGGAUUAUGCAGGCCUAGUUAAACUGUUGAUUUUGCCUCUGUGGUAGUUAGUUUUAUCAUAUUACAAUUUAUUUCUGUAAUAAAAGUAUUAAACCAAAUCCACGACCAGUGUUAGAGAUGAAAAAAAUGACAAAUCUUACAUAAACUAAGGAAAAAAUAUAGACCUAUACGUUACCAUAUAAAAUUGAUUAUUUUGCGUUACAUAUAAUAAAAGAUGAGAUUUUAAAACAU